CGUCGAUGAUGAUAAAUUCUAAGGCUUGUUUCUCAAAACAUUCGCAGUGGCCGCCUGAGAGCUUUCGCCUCGCCCGGCUUGAGAGCUUAUGCUGCUCAAUUUUUCCUUGGAUGUCUGAGAUU
rfam:Musa acuminata subsp. malaccensis Doubled-haploid Pahang (DH-Pahang) genomic chromosome, chr3